CACAGCAACACCGGAUCUGAGUCACAUCUGUGACCUAUUCUGCAGCUUGUGGCAACACUGGAUCCUUAACCAACUGAGUAAGGCCAGGGAUUGAACCUGCAUCCUCAAAGAGUCAAUGUGAGGUCUUUAACCCACCUAGCCUUAGCCACAACAGGAACUCCCUCAGUGGAGAUUUAUAGCAUGCUGAUAUCUGAGAAAUAUAAAAAGCCUUUCCAUUGCCUAUUAAAAAGUAUUUUUAUUUGUUGAAUAGUUCUGAAACUGCAAUAUGAUCAGGUCUGUUUCAAAUAGUUGAGAAAAAGUUGGGGAUCUAUCACGAUGAUAUGCAGAUUCUGUUCUGAGUCAGUAUUAUUUCACUAUGGAUUAUGCUCUUAUCCUAAAAGAUGAAAAUGUCAAAACAAAUGAAAAUAUAUAUUUAAAAAAAACCAAGAACUAUGAAUCUUUGUUAAACAAGUACCAUAUGAAGUUAGAGUUCCUUUGCUUCCUGCUAUUAGAAGCUGAAGUGACGACUGGAUAAGAAAAGACUACUGUAGUUUGCAAUCUUAUCCUUUUGUCCAGUUUCUCUACUAAAGGUACCCUGGUUCAGCAGCAAGCUAAAUCUAAUGAGAAUCCCAAAGAUAACUAGAUAUAAUAGGUCUCACCGCUAAAUUCCUUUCCCCCUAUGAAAACAGAACUCAGGAUACUGGAGCUCCUUGACCUAAUACUAAAAUGAGUAAGCUAAAAUAAUGUGUCUUGAAAAUUCAUUUUGUUUUUAAAACAGUUUUAGUUUCCCACUACACUCUAGAAUGUGGGGUGGGGCUAAACUUUAAAGUAUGUCUUCAUGAUCCAGAUAUUGCUUCAUAAGGAAGGGGGGAAUGAAGCUCCAUAUUCAGAAUAUGGACUUCUACUAAUGACCAUUUUGGUGGUGCAUCCUUUGGAAUGUCCAUCCCUGCCUGCCAUCACGGUGAAGGCAAUUGUGAUUACUGUAAUAACCUCACAAGAAGACUUUUUCUCAUACCUUGAAAAAAAUCUCAGACAUGGCACCGAACUGAAAAACAUAAAAAAACUUUUUCACACUUUCAGGCCUAUUAGUAUAGUUGUUAUUGAUAAUGAUUUCUAUGAUUUUGAAUCAGACUGAAUUUAUACCAUGCAUGGGAUAUAUGCAAAGCUGAAGACACUGACUUCUCUGUGAAAGUGCUGAAUUCAUGGUUCAUACAAAGAAUGCAGUAAUAAAAUACUUAAGAGAUAUUAAAUUCUGUCAGAUCUGGGUGAGAAUAUCUGUGAAGCUAUUAACACCUACAUAAUCUCAGACAGGCUGUUUUAAUCUUUCUGAGCUGCUUAAACUCUUUUGUUACAUGGCCAGAUUUAUAUUAUUAAAAGAUCAUUAUAGCAGUUGUGAAGAAUGGACCAAAGAGAUCUAGGCAGAAGCUAAGAAAACAAGGUUUCUAAAAAUAUUUUUAUCUGCAAUAAUUGUAGGGGUACAGAAAAGUUGCAAAGAUAGUAAAGAGAGUUCCUUGUGUAUCAUUCAAUCAGGCUUCCCUAGAGUUAACAGCUCACAUACCAAUGAUGCAUUUGUCAAAACUAAAAAAGCUAAUGUGGGUAUAACACCCUUAGCUAGACUACAGUAUUUAUUUAGAUUUCAACAGAUUUUUUUGCUAAUUUUCUUCUGGGUUUUUUUUUCUGUUCUAGAAUACAAUUCAGGAUAUCCUACUGUAUUUAAUACUACUGCUUUUACCUUCCUAAUUUUAUUUUUUCCAUAUUCCAACCUAAAGAUAUUGGUGGCCUGGACUAAAGCUUAUAGCAGUGAAGAUGGAAGGAAACAGAUCUGAUAUAUAUGCUGAAGUUAUAAACAAGGGGGGGGUGAUUAUUAAUAGAUACAAGUCAUGAAGCAAAGGAAAAAAACAAGGAUGACUUACACCUUCUGGCUUAAAGAACUUAGUGGAUGGUGGUGAAUUUAUGGAGACAGGAUGACUGAGGGGAGGAUGGAAUUGAAAAUAUGUUUAGAAGGAAAGCUAUGAGUUUCAUGUUAGAUUUGUUAAAAUGUAUUAGCAAUAACAUAUAUAAAACAUUUAAUUCAAUGGCUGCCACACAGUGUGUGCUCAUUAAAUGAUGGCCACUAUGCAAUUAUCAUCAUAAUCAUUAUCAUCAAUAUUAUCAUCAGGAAGGAAUUUCAAUAUUGCUUCAGGCUGCAAAGAAACUUUCUAUGAUGAUGCCAGUGAGAGAGGCUUUCCUGUUUGGUUCCACAUUUUCUCUAUAGAGUGGUUUCAAUGGGAGUGUAAGCUGAAAAUGCCAGGCCUUGUUUAGGGCUACAGACGGAUGUGCACAUAAUAUUCCCAUUCUUCUCUAACCUGAAUUGGGGUCCUAACUAGGGACCCUAUAGUAUAAGAGGCUCCACUCUAAAAUGCCAAGCUGAGAGGGUAUACACAACUUGAACAAAGGCACACCGGCAUAAAAGGGCACAGAAUGUUAAGAAAAUGGAAGAGAUUUGGUGAGUUGAAGGGAAUGGUUAAAGAUGAGCCUAGUAAGGCAAAAUGGGGCCAUCUAUCAUGAGAAGGGUAUUUUAAAUGCAUAGUAAAAAGUCUGGAAUUUUCCCCAGUGGAGGGGAGAGUAUAUAAUGUAGUAAUAUGAAGAUUCUUCCCAGUGGGAAAACUACGUGAAUGUAAUAAUGGAAUUCUAAUGUUAAAAAUCCUUAUAAGCAACAUGAUCUCCUAUGUUUAGUCCAUCUCUAACCACAGCAACUUUUUAGAAUAGUAAGUAUGGGUAUUUUGUGGAUAAGAAUGAAUUUAGCAAAAAGAGUCACUUUUGGUUUAGAUAGAAAUAGUAGAUUCCUAUGCUAGGAAAGGCCCAGGGCUGCUGUAAAGGUUCAAUUAUGAUGUACCUUACCUCUGUCCAUCUUAAGCCAUUCUCUUCAAGUCAGAGAGUGCUAAGUUAAGACAAAUGAGCCAAAAAUGAGGGACUGCCCUUGAUCUCCUCUGCUGGAUGUUAAAAUAUUUUAGAGCCUGAAAUAAAUUUUAUCCAAAGCAAGUAACUGAAGGAAAUUCUGGCUGAGCGAAAAAUUUAGCCAUCUUCAGGGUCAGAACCAACUCUAUCUCAUCAUAACACUAUAGGAUACUUACUCUGUGCUAUACAUAGCCAAAUGACCCAGACUUUACAGAUUAGCUGAUUUUAUAAGUAUCGGCAUGUAGUCUACCCUCUAUACCAACGAAAAGCUAUUCUGAUUGGUACUAUAUGUUAUGUUUAAUCUUGUGGUAGGUUUAUUUCACAUGUGCUUCAAACAUCAGUGAGGGACAAAAGAGUGGUUUCAAUGUGUUACUAGAUGUGAAAACAGGAAAUUAGCUCUAUACAUUCUAAAAUAUUAAAAAUUAAGAGUUAUUCCACAAUUCAUUAAAUGGCAAGUGGGUACAAGUCAAUUGGUUGAAGAAAAUCAAACAAAUGAGCAGAUUUCUUCAUAACUGUGAAUAAUCUUUCAUACUCUAUUCAUAUUUUCCCACUGCUGGCAUUGCUGGGAAUUAGUCACAUUAUCUAGAGUUAUUUCAUUAUGUUGACCUAUGUCCUGAGAGUCAGAUUCUUCAGAGUGAAUAGUACAGAAAGUACUAGAGGUGACUUCACUUACACUUCUACUUAUGUUCUUAUAUUUAUUCUUGUCUAUGAAGCCUUAACUAUAUCUUUUAUUAGAUGCACUUAUAUUUUAUUCUUUGAGCAUAUAUGCAUGCUAAGCAGUAGAGAAUAAUAAAGAAGGUUGAAAGCAUUAACCAACAAAGGAAUGUUAUUUAGAAAAUGAAUGUUUUCAUUUAUAGUUAGCAUGGUAGAAUCUAGGCCAUGAAUCCUAUUAGUAGAUUUAUUCCUUUAACUGCAGCCCCGAGGAUAGAUAAAAUGCCAAUAAAGACUGACUUCACAUACGUAUAUAAAUGAUGAGUGUGAAUGCUUCUUCCUCAUCCACAAUGUUAUUUAAUCUUGCUGGUGUUACUUGAAAUAAUGGUCUCAACUUUCCGCUUUGCUUUUCCAAUGCAGACACUGUCACCAUAGUGCUGAGUGAAGAAACGACUGUUUUCAGAAUUUAAGUUUUGUUAGACUAUAAAGAGAAGAUGAUCCUUCAAAAAUAUCACAGAAAUAAAGCACCAGGUUCAUCUCACCAUAUCAAGGGUAUAAACAAUCAACAUGAUUUAUGCCGAAUGAUGUUCACCUGGCUGAAGUACUGUCAUGAAAUCUGCUCUAAAGCACUACAAGACUCCCCUCAUCCAGGCUCAUCUUGUAUAUUCCCUGCCACAAGCAUUUCCACAAGAAACUCUGUUUCCUUUUAAUGGUAAAUGGUAUUAGAAACCAAGAUCUGAGUUCUAGUCGAGAUGUUGCUACUGGGAUGUCUUUUCUUUAAGGUCCUCUCAACUGAUAGAGAAAAUAAAUUUAUCUUUGUACAUUAAUGUAUAGACACAUGCCUAUGAAUAUUUCAGCAUAUAACUAUCAAGUAACUCAAUUAAACACGGGUUUUAACUGAUGACUCUUAACUCAUUACCUCAUGGAAAAUCCUAGUGUCUUUCUCCUCACUAAUUUGUAAAUACCCACACCAAUGGUGAUAAACCUGGCUCCCAUUAUUCAGCAUCAAAUUACUUACUGAAUUCUAGAAUCAUGUAUAGAAGUAUCAGAUUGAUAACCUGUACCUCUGUGGGGAAAAACAACCAGAGUACUGUGCUUAUGUGCUGGUCUUUUUACUUUUAAUCUUACAGACUCCAUACAUUUCCAAAGUUACCUAGGUCAGAUACUUCUACCCUAGGAGGAGUGUCUCACCCAUUCCAGUGAGGUUGUUUCCAAAGUUUGUAAUGCAACUAGAUUCCCUUGUUACAAUGUUCACUCUUUCCGAGGACCUCUUUACUUCCCAAAUUACUAUUUAAAAUUUGUAUAUUUAUGUUUCACUCUGUGCUAUAAAAUUCCAUGGGUUUUGACAAAUGCAUAAUGUAUCUACUGUUGUGGGUUUAAUUGUGUGACACUCCCAAUGUUUGAGUUCUAACCCCACUGUACCUCAAAAUAUGACCCUUUUGAGACAGUCUUUACAGAGAUAAUAUAUAAAAUAAGGUCAUUGAGGUGAGCCCUAAUCCAAUAGAACUAGUAUCCUUAUAAAAUCAAUGAAUUUGGAUACAGAGACACACAAGGAGAUGCAAUGUUAAGAUGAGGCAGAAAUCAGGGUGAUAUAUCCACAAACCAAAAAAUGCAAUCUUUUCCAACAAACCAUUAGAAGCUAGGAGACAGGCAUGGAACAGAUUCUCUCUCACAGCACUCAGAAUAAGUCUGGAGUUCUAGCCUCCAGAAACGUUGUUCUAAGGCACCCAGUUUUUGCUAACUUGUUAGGCAGGUCUAGGAAUCUAAUACAUCCACCAAUAGUUUCACUGCCUAAAAAAUGCCUUGUGUUUCACCUAUCCAUCACUCAGUCCUUCCCAUCUAGUCCUUGGCAAUAACUCAUUUUAAUGUUUCUAUUGUUUUGCCUGUGAAAUGUAAUUUUUAAAUAGCACUUUGGAUAAUCAUGGUAUAAUAAUAAUAAGUAAAAAAGGAAAGAGAAAGAGAGAAGAAAAGCACUUGGCUUUCAACUGUUACAUUCAGGUAUUUGUUGAAAGUUUUAGGAAUAAUUACAUGUGAGAACUAAGUAGUAUGAAAAGACCUGUCAGAACAAAGAAUACUCCCAUUUUUUAAAAGCUACAUAUGGAGUAAGGUAAAUAACAGUUGUUGCUGGCAAAUAGUAAAAACUUAAGGACAAAAUAUUAUGUCAGUUAUAAAAACUUACUAACUACUGAGGUCAAAUUAAACAGAGUAAUCAUUCUAUCGGAGUUAUGAUAAAUUAACUGGAUUAAUGAAAUUCAUAGUAACUUAAAAUAUCUGUUACUGCCUUUUGCUAUAUCAGCAGGGGGCAUAUGAUUAGAUUUCAGUUUAUUAACAAAGUAUAAAAUGUGAAAAGCCUAAAAAAAAUUAAGUUCAUAUUUAGGUAUGAACUUGUGCUCAGCAAAAGAUGUCAAAAUUUAUCAAUAACUUCUCUUAAAAUAUACAUAGAAAUGAAAAAAGAAUACAGAUUAUAUCCUUUCAAUGGCCAGAGAUAACUUUACAAUGAUUACUAACUAAAUGUUCAAUUCUUUACUCCCUUUUUCAUCUAAAAUUCACUGCUUCCCAGAGAAGCACGCAUUAAAGAUUAGGCAUCAAUUGAUUACUUUCUAGAGGUGAACCCUGUCUCUAGUUUCUUCUGGAAUAAACUGACUCAAAAAGAAAAAAGAGGGAACUAUGCUUUGGGUUUAGUAAUUCCAACCAACUCAUCUGGUUUUGACACACGAUUACUUUGUUAAGAGGUGAACAUAUUAUUUUGCUAUCACAUUGAAUUUUUGCAACUACAAUUGGGAAUUUACUAUAUUACACAACAAUUAAUAGUGUAUGUGUGUAUACAGUGGAAAAAUAAAUAAAUAAAUAAAUAAAUAAAUAAUAGUGUGUGUGUGUGAAAGAGAGAAAGCAAAGGAGAUAUCUAUCUCUUCUGUUACAAAGUGGCUUUUGAAAAAGGAGGAGGAAGCGGGAUGGAUUGGGAAUGUGGGAUUAAUAGAUGCAGACUAUU